GUUGCUGGCACUGGGGGGCAUGCUUGAAAAAUAUCUGGGGAUUAGUUCAUACUCAAGAAUAAACUGAAACCUGAAUGAAGGAGAACGAGCUGCUGAAAAGAAAGCUGGGAAGUACAUUUGGCCACUUGUCUAGUGACCAAAUGGAGAAGACUUUGCAGAAUUUCCUGACUGGAGGUAGAAGGAGAAGUUACAAAUGCAUGGAUGGUAUUAAGUCAGGUUUAUUGAGAGAAAACAGGAUAGCAGGAGAUAUGAUCUGUGCAAUCAAACCAGCGGAAGCAAAAGCAAACAAAGAAACUAGCACAUGGGAGAGACGUCAACUCCAGUUAUUCUGCCUUUUGUACUCAGGUAAAAAUUUGAAAAGAUGAUAUCGAUAUGAAUAAAAAUU